AGUGAACGCUGGCGGUAGGCCCAACACAUGCAAGUCGAACGGCAGCACAGUAAGAGCUUGCUCUUACGGGUGGCGAGUGGCGGACGGGUGAGGAAUACAUCAGAAUCUACUUUUUCGUGGGGGAUAACGUAGGGAAACUUACGCUAAUACCGCAUACGACCUACGGGUGAAAGCAGGGGAUCUUCGGACCUUGCGCGUUUGAAUGAGCCGAUGUCGGAUUAGCUAGUUGGCAGGGUAAAGGCCCACCAAGGCGACGAUCCGUAGCUGGUCUGAGAGGAUGAUCGGCCACACUGGAACUGAGACACGGUCCAGACUCCUACGGGAGGCAGCAGUGGGGAAUCUUGGACAAAGGGCGAAAGCCUGACCCAGCCACACCGCGUGAGUGAAGAAGGCCUUCGGGUUGUAAAGCCCUUUUAUUGGGAAAGAAAAGCAGUAGAUGUAUCCCCCGCUGUUCUGACGGUACCCAAAGAAUAAGCACCGGCUAACUACGUG
rnacentral:rRNA from 1 species